rnacentral:pre_miRNA from 1 species
UUACUAUUUCCUCCGUCUAACAAAAGAUGUUUUAAGUUUGUCAAAAUUUGGAUGUAUCUAGAAAGACUUAGUGUAUAGAUGCAUUCCAAUUUAGUCAAAGUUGAGAUAUCCUUUGUUGGAUGAAGUACAUAAACA